rnacentral:lncRNA from 1 species
GAGCAAGAUCUUUUUUGAUAAGUUUUAAAAUCAAAUCCAUACUUGCAUGUCCUAAUCUACGAUGCUAAAACCAACUAGCCUCAUUAACUUUGACAUCUAUUGCAACUAAAUAUUGACCAUUCUUUAGGAAAAGAUCACAUAGAUAAACCAUGUAGAUAUUACUUUGUCUAUGUCUAAUAGCACAACAUCAUUAUCGUUGGGACUAGAAACAAUGCAUAUUAAAAAUUCCAAUAUAACUUUAAAAUCUUUAUCACGUAAUUAACUAAUACUUAGUAAAUUAUAUUUUAAACCAUCUAUAAGUAUAAUAUUCUCAAUAU